rnacentral:rRNA from 1 species
UGGGGAAUUUUGGACAAUGGGCGAAAGCCUGAUCCAGCAAUGCCGCGUGUGUGAAGAAGGCCUUCGGGUUGUAAAGCACUUUUGUCCGGAAAGAAAUCCUUGGCUCUAAUACAGUCGGGGGAUGACGGUACCGGAAGAAUAAGCACCGGCUAACUACGUGCCAGCAGCCGCGGCAAUACGUAGGGUGCAAGCGUUAAUCGGAAUUACUGGGCGUAAAGCGUGCGCAGGCGGUUUGCUAAGACCGAUGUGAAAUCCCCGGGCUCAACCUGGGAACUGCAUUGGUGACUGGCAGGCUAGAGUAUGGCAGAGGGGGGUAGAAUUCCACGUGUAGCAGUGAAAUGCGUAGAGAUGUGGAGGAAUACCGAUGGCGAAGGCAGCCCCCUGGGCCAAUACUGACGCUCAUGCACGAAAGCGUGGGGAGCAAACAGGAUUAGAUACCCUGGUAGUCCACGCCCUAAACGAUGUCAACUAGUUGUUGGGGAUUCAUUUCCUUAGUAACGUAGCUAACGCGUGAAGUUGACCGCCUGGGGAGUACGGUCGCAAGAUUAAAACUUAAAGGAAUUG